AAAUAAAUGAAUCUUUCUCUGUUUUAGAAAUGGUGUAUUUGUCUAUGUGACUAUGAAGAUGAAACAGAGCUGAGAGAAUUGUCAUGUAAAUACCACUUCCAUGAAGUUUGCAUAGACAAGAGAUUAAGUUGUCCUAAACACCGAUCCACUCCAAUCCAAUCACUCGAACACCCACUUGUUUUCAUUGCGAACUUCCGCCUCUU